UCUUGUCGUCCUGUAAAGACCCAGCCCUUCCCUCCUCCAUGAAACCUGGAUUCCUCCAAGGCGAAGACCCACCUCUCUGGGGUCUCAGCCUCCAGCGCUGACAUCCUAGGCCGCCUCGACAGCCAUCGAGUUGAUCAAGGACCUGGUCGGUUACGAUGUGCGCCAGGCGCUGCUCAAGGGCCUCGUGGAGCUGCUGAUACCGUCGGUCAAGGAGAACUCCAAACUGCAGGCCAAGAUCCUCAGUGGUAGGGACCUGCUCAAAUGGGGCUGCCUGGGCCACGGGAGGGGGGUCUCUUGCCUCACGGCCGCCCCCUCCUCAGACCCCUCGGUUCUCCAGCUCACCCCCAGCCUGCCGAUGUUUUUGCAGCAGGCCGCGGCCGCCAAGGCCAUCGGGUAAGCGGGCAGGGGUUAGUGGGUAGCUGCAGCAA
rnacentral:sRNA from 1 species